rnacentral:tRNA from 1 species
GCCUCUAUAGCUGAAAUGGAUUAGCAACCGGCUCUUAACCGGUGGAUGUGGGAUCGUUACCUACUGGGGGCAC